GUGCUCGCUUCGGCAGCACAUAUACUAAAAUUGGAAUGAUACAGAGAUUAGCACUGCCCCUGCUCAAGGAUGACACACAAAUUUGUGAAGCGUUCUAUAUUAAA